rfam:Triticum aestivum genome assembly, contig: Triticum_aestivum_CS42_TGACv1_scaffold_435647_5DL
UAGCAGCUGUUGAGAUGAGAUUACCCCAUACCCUGCAGAGAGCGUCAGCUCGACGCCGUACACGCGUAUGGGGUAAUCUCAACUCAACAGCCGCUC